AUUCUUACUCCCAGGCACCUCCAAUUAGCAUGGUCGGCUACGUAUGGUACGAGGCUCAUCCAUUGCACUGCGGGUGGGUUGACCCCUGCGAUUUCCCCAAAUGCGGGAAACUCGACUGUAUAAUUUGUGAUUCCGGACAUACAGUACCCUGGUGUCUA